GGAAGUGAAUAAGGGCGUACGGGGGAUGCCUAGGCUCUCAGAGGCGAGGAAGGACGUGACAAGCUGCGAAAAGCUACGUUUAGGAGCAAAUAUCCGAUACAGGCGUAGAUAUCCGAAUGGGGCAACCUGACAGGUUGAAGACCUGUCAUCUGCGAAAGCAGAGGCAAACGUGGGGAACUGAAACAUCUAAGUACCCAUAGGAAGAGAAAACAAGAGUGAUUCCCUAAGUAGUGGCGAGCGAACGGGGAACAGCCCAAACCAUGUUUGUUUAGGCAGAUAUGGGGUUGUAGGACUGUGAUGUGGACUAUAAUUUGAUAGUUGAAAUACUUGGAAAGGUAUUCCGGAGGAGGUGAAAGGCCUGUAGACGAAAUUGAAUUAUAACCUAACAGUAUCCUGAGUAGGGCGGGACCAGAGGAAUCCUGUCUGAAUCCGGCAGUACCAUCUGCCAAGGCUAAAUACUCCUGAGAGACCGAUAGUGUACCAGUACUGUGAAGGAAAGGUGAAAAGCACCUCGAAUAGAGGAGUGAAAUAGACCCUGAAACCGUACGCUUACAAGCGGUCGGAGCCAUUUUAUAUGGUGACGGCGUGCCUUUUGCAUAAUGAGCCUACGAGUUACUUCUCACUAGCGAGGUUAAGCGCAGUUAUGCGUGCAGCCGAAGCGAAAGCGAGUCUGAAAAGGGCGUUUAGUUAGUGGGAGUAGACGCGAAACUUUGUGAUCUACCCUUGAGCAGGUUGAAGGUGGGGUAACACUCACUGGAGGACCGAACCGGUUGAAGUUGAAAAUUCUUCGGAUGACUUGAGGGUAGGGGUGAAAGGCUAAUCAAACUGAGAGAUAGCUCGUACUCCCCGAAAUGCUUUUUGGAGCAGCCUUAUUAUAAGUAUCAUAGAGGUAGAGCUACUGAUUGGAUGCGGGGGCUUCACCGCCUACCAAUUCCAGACAAACUCCGAAUGCUAUGAUAUGAUUGAUAGGAGAGAGGCUAUGGGUGCUAAUGUCCAUAGCCGAGAGGGAAAGAACCCGGACUAACAGCUAAGGUCCCCGAAUGUAUGCUAAGUUGAAAAAACGCGGUUUGACUGCAGAGACAGCUAGGAUGUUGGCUUGGAAGCAGCCAUUCAUUUAAAGAGUGCGUAACAGCUCACUAGUCGAGCGGUCGAGCAUGGAUAAUAAACGGGCAUAAGCAUACUACCGAAGCUUUAGAUUUGCGAUGUAUAAUUGCAAGUGGUAGGGGAGCAUUCUAUCGGCGUAGAAGCAGUAACGUGAGUUAUUGUGGAGCUUAUAGAAAAGCAAAUGUAGGCAUAAGUAACGAUAAUGAGGGCGAGAAACCCUCACACCGAAAGACUAAGGAUUCCUGGGCAACGAUAAUCGACUCAGGGUUAGUCGGGACCUAAGGCGUAGCCGAAAGGCGAAGUCGAUGGACAAUCGGUUAAUAUUCCGAUACUAUCUAUAACUGCGAAGGAGGGACGGAGAAGUGACAGGUACGCGUACUGACGGAAUAGUACGUUAAAGGGUGUAGAUGUUGAUUUCGGCAGGCAAAUCCGCCGGGAGAAUCGAACCUGAUAGUACCGAGAGGCUACGGCUAAUCGGAUAGUUACCGUAAACAUGCUCCCGAGAAAAUCUUCUAAGCUCUAGGUUAUAGAUACCCGUACCGUAAACCGACACAGGUAGUCAAGGAGAGAAUCCAAAGGUGCUCGAGUGAACCGUGGCUAAGGAACUAGGCAAAUUAGUCCUGUAACUUAGGAAAAAAGGACCCCUACUCGCAAGAGAGGGCGCAGAGAAAUGACCCAGGCGACUGUUUAUCAAAAACAUAUGGCUUUGCGAAAUUGAAAGAUGAAGUAUAAGGCCUGACACCUGCCCGGUGCUGGAAGGUUAAGAGGAGAUGUCAUUCUGCAAGGAAGAAGCAUUGAAUUGAAGCCCCAGUAAACGGCGGCCGUAACUAUAACGGUCCUAAGGUAGCGAAAUUCCUUGUCGGGUAAGUUCCGACCUGCACGA
rnacentral:rRNA from 1 species